UCCCUCUCACAUGGACAGAAAGGUGGCUAUCUUAGGCUGUUCGUGUGAAGAGAUGCGAACAUGCGCGAAAAUGAUUGUCAUGAGCAUGAGAGCAACCGUCGGUAUCGCGAAUUUACCUUCGUGAUUUCCUGUGACGAAAUUAAUUCGGCGGUUAAUCUGAGGAUUAUUGAAGUGAUCAGAUUCACUUCGAACUGAUCCGUGGAAGAGGCAGGAGUGGCCCAAGUGUUCUCGCGCCGUGGUAGUUUCUUUGAGUUUCUUAGCUAGUUAGUCGUGUGUGCAAAGGUUACGAACGGUGUGUUAUCGUGUGUGCUGGUGAAUAAAAACAGAACCGUGACCACGCCGCUACGACGCCCGACAACCCACACCGAACCAUCGAGGCCAUUCUUGACCCCACCAUCAGCUUGCGAGGUUUUCCCGGGGCACGCCGGAAGAGGGACGCGAUCGCCAAUCAACGCGCCCUAGGCAGGGCAUCACCGAAGAAGAAGAAGAAGAGAGAAGGCAACCGUUUUUCCGUUCCGUUGGUGACGACCGACGGACAUCGACGCACGUGCCGCGUCGCGCCAAACCAUCGAUGAGACCGUAAGUUUCGAUCCGGAGCAAAGCCAUCCGUAGGCGACAACCGCAGUCGCAGCAUCAUCAGCUAGCCCAGCUAACC